GGUGUUUACCGCCUCCGCAGCCUGCGCUGUUUCCUCAGCCUAGUGGCCUGAUCUGCUCCCUUCAUAUCUCCGUCGGCCUCCGUGCACGUCGGAACCAGCCAUGAAGCUCGGAUUUCGGUUACUGCUGUUGGCAGCCUUGGUCGUCCUGGUGAUGGCCGGAAGCGUAGCAGCACGCGAGGAGACGAAACGACAGGACAGCGAUGACAGCACAGACUUGCAAGCAGAUGGUGAAAAGAGCAAGAAGCAGAAGGAUGACACUCAACUCGACUCCGAGAAGGCGCACGUGAAGCAGAAGUGGCAGAGGUACAAGCCUCCGAGUUCCAAAAAAGCAAAGAAAGCGGCUCUCCGCAAGGAGAAAGCUAUGGCGAAGAGCGGUAAGGAGAAAUGGAAGGCAGCAGCCGAGGAAGCGAGGGAGAGGAAGGCUAAGAGGUCUGCGCAGUACCUGGAACGGGACGCUGCGAGCAGACGAAAGCCGACAAAGGACAAGUCGUGGAAGGAGAGCAAAGAGAAAAGUCUGCAGGCCGAGAGGCGGACAUCGAGUGGAGAGGGCAAGAAGUUGGACGUGGAUAAACUGAAACAGGGUUCGAAAGUGACGGAGAAACAAGCUCAGAAAGAGAAGUGGAAGUCAAGUGAGGACAACAGUGUGUGUGCCAAAGACGAGUUGUGUUCCAGUGGCAGCGACGAGAAUGUACCCGGUGAGAAGAAAAAGUGGAAGAAGAAAAACAAUGGCGAAGAAGGUACGAGAGAGAAAUCUGCACAGCUAAAUAGGGCAGGAGAUGAAAGUCCAAGUGGUGGGUCCGAGACUGCUGGUGCAAAUAGAAGAACGGAAGUAAAGAGUGAUAAGAACAGUGACGAUAGGGAACAAGGAGAGGUACUGAAACAAAGGACUACUGAUGGCAGCAAACAGGCAGUCAAGCCAAAGGGGAGAAAAUCGACAGAAGCGCAAGUGGUCAGUCCAGAGGUGUCGGCCUCCAAGGUGGAUAAACAGGAUGGUGCACCUGAGGAAGUUGUCAAGGAGGAUACAGAACAUCGGAAAAAAUGGCAGUGGCAAUCACAAAGUCAAACGGUUGUACAUAGUGGAGGAGGAAUACGAUCCAGAAUGCAUAAGCUGCUCUGACGGGCUGAUGACAAACAACAUUGGUGAAACCGAAAGCAACAAAUAGAAUACUGUGAGGAGGCGUGAUGGGCAGUCCAGGGUAAGAAGAUACAUUGUGGAAGAGGAAAUUAUUGAAGAGGGUGCAUGUGAGGAGCAACAAGCAGAUGAUGGUGAUGAGAUAACCAGAUUGAUGCAGUGAUCUGUGCAAAGUAUUAUCAAAUGUUUUGUAUGAAUAAUGUUGUCAUUAGUAUAAUUUCUGUUAUGUAAGUGUGUCAUAUUAUUCAUGUUCAUUCUUAUGCAAUUUGAGUUGUUAAAUAUCUAUAUAAUCAAAAAUCCAUUUUUAAUC